UACGAAGGGGGCUAGCGUUGCUCGGAAUCACUGGGCGUAAAGCGCACGUAGGCGGAUUGUUAAGUUAGGGGUGAAAUCCUGGAGCUCAACUCCAGAACUGCCUUUGAUACUGGCGAUCUCGAGUCCGGGAGAGGUGAGUGGAACUGCGAGUGUAGAGGUGAAUUCGUAGAUAUUCGCAAGAACACCAGUGGCGAAGGCGGCUCACUGGCCCGGUACUGACGCUGAGGUGCGAAAGCGUGGGGAGCAAACAGG
rnacentral:rRNA from 1 species